rnacentral:lncRNA from 1 species
GUAGUGGAGUGAGUUCCUCAUGUGUCACCAUUAAAAGGACAGACAGAAUGCGCCAAAGCCGCGGAACGAGCAAGAACUAUUUAUGACCAGAACUACACGGAUGGAAGUGACGCUUCUUGCGUAGCAGACGACGUUCCAGUUCCAGACGCGCACCCUACCGUGGCUAAAGCAAGACUGAAAUCGAGUGCAGCGCCUAUGCAAGGAUACAUGAGGAUACGCAUACCAAAUGCAGUCAUUGGGUGUUGUCAAUGUCAACGCGCACUGAAUAUUAUUUGCCAUUGACUACGUUCCACUUACGACCUGUUAUAGAAGCUCGCGGGAUUACGUUGUUGGUAGGAAAUCGGGGGAUGCCUUACGGUAGUGUCUUGAGUGCACGAUUGUGUAGUGCGGAGUGAAAGUGAAUGCCUCAUCAGCGGUCCUGUUAAUGGCCACAAUCUGUGCGGUCUUCGUUCUCCUAGCUGUAUCUCCUGUUGCUUUGCGAGACUGACUUUCAGGACUCUGCUAUGCACCUGGACUUUGGAGGCACCUCUGUAUUAAAAAACGAUUUCUGCAUAUCUUGAAAUAAAAAUUUUU